rnacentral:sRNA from 1 species
UGAGGAGUUCAGGCUGGGACAUGAAUUGCUCUGUUGGUGUCCAGUGUUAAUUUGGCCACCACAGUGGUCUGAGUAGGUUUCCUCUUCCUUACUGCUCAAUAGACAUCCUUCCUUGGCUGAAGAGAAUGAUCUACCUGAGAGAAGAGGGCGCUCUGUGGUUAAUAAUAUAAGAAUGGUAGGCCUCUCUUGCUGAUAUCUCCAAGCUGCCUCCCAUGUGUACAGCAGUUACUUUGUUUCUUUUCAUAAUAUUGUACCUGUUUGUGGACCAAAACCUGGAGACAA